rnacentral:rRNA from 1 species
ACGGGUGAGUAAUGUCUGGGGAUCUGCCCGAUAGAGGGGGAUAACCACUGGAAACGGUGGCUAAUACCGCAUAACGUCGCAAGACCAAAGAGGGGGACCUUCGGGCCUCUCACUAUCGGAUGAACCCAGAUGGGAUUAGCUAGUAGGCGGGGUAAUGGCCCACCUAGGCGACGAUCCCUAGCUGGUCUGAGAGGAUGACCAGCCACACUGGAACUGAGACACGGUCCAGACUCCUACGGGAGGCAGCAGUGGGGAAUAUUGCACAAUGGGCGCAAGCCUGAUGCAGCCAUGCCGCGUGUAUGAAGAAGGCCUUCGGGUUGUAAAGUACUUUCAGCGGGGAGGAAGGCGAUGGGGUUAAUAACCCUGUCGAUUGACGUUACCCGCAGAAGAAGCACCGGCUAACUCCGUGCCAGCAGCCGCGGUAAUACGGAGGGUGCAAGCGUUAAUCGGAAUUACUGGGCGUAAAGCGCACGCAGGCGGUCUGUUAAGUCAGAUGUGAAAUCCCCGGGCUUAACCUGGGAACUGCAUUUGAAACUGGCAGGCUUGAGUCUUGUAGAGGGGGGUAGAAUUCCAGGUGUAGCGG